rnacentral:rRNA from 1 species
UGGGGGAUAUUGCACAAUGGGCGAAAGCCUGAUGCAGCGACGCCGCGUGGGGGAUGAAGGCCUUCGGGUUGUAAACUUCUUUUGCUCUGAACAAGGCAUGCUAAUGGGUGUGUUGAGUGUAGGGGUUGAUUAGCGCCGGCUAACUACGUGCCAGCAGCCGCGGUAAUACGUAGGGCGCGAGCGUUGUCCGGAAUUAUUGGGCGUAAAGGGCUUGUAGGUGGCUGGUUGCGUCUGUCGUGAAAGCUCAUGGCUUAACUGUGGGUUUGCGGUGGGUACGGGCUGGCUUGAGUGCAGUAGGGGAGGCUGGAAUUCCUGGUGUAGCGGUGGAAUGCGCAGAUAACAGGAGGAAUACCGGUGGCGAAGGCGGGUCUCUGGGCUGUUACUGACACUGAGGAGCGAAAGCAUGGGGAGCGAACAGG